AUUGAACGCUGGCGGCAUGCUUUACACAUGCAAGUCGAACGGUAACAGGCCGCAGGGUGCUGACGAGUGGCGAACGGGUGAGUAAUGCAUCGGAACGUGCCCAGUCGUGGGGGAUAACGCAGCGAAAGCUGCGCUAAUACCGCAUACGAUCUAUGGAUGAAAGCGGGGGACCGUAAGGCCUCGCGCGAUUGGAGCGGCCGAUGUCAGAUUAGGUAGUUGGUGGGGUAAAGGCCUACCAAGCCGACGAUCUGUAGCUGGUCUGAGAGGACGACCAGCCACCCUGGGAGUGAGACACGGCCAAGACUCCUACGGGAGGCAGCAGUGGGGAAUUUUGGACAAUGGGCGCAAGCCUGAUCCAGCAAUGCCGCGUGCAGGAAGAAGGCCUUCGGGUUGUAAACUGCUUUUGUACGGAACGAAACGGUCCUGGUUAAUACCUGGGGCUAAUGACGGUACCGUAAGAAUAAGCACCGGCUAACUACGUGCCAGCCGCCGCCGUAA
rnacentral:rRNA from 1 species